rnacentral:rRNA from 1 species
GAUGAACGCUGGCGCCGUGCCUAAUACAUGCAAGUCGAGCGAACAGACGAGGAGCUUGCUCCUCUGACGUUAGCGGCGGACGGGUGAGUAACACGUGGAUAACCUACCUAUAAGACUGGGAUAACUUCGGGAAACCGGAGCUAAUACCGGAUAAUAUAUUGAACCGCAUGGUUCAAUAGUGAAAGACGGUUUUGCUGUCACUUAUAGAUGGAUCCGCGCCGCAUUAGCUAGUUGGUAAGGUAACGGCUUACCAAGGCAACGAUGCGUAGCCGACCUGAGAGGGUGAUCGGCCACACUGGAACUGAGACACGGUCCAGACUCCUACGGGAGGCAGCAGUAGGGAAUCUUCCGCAAUGGGCGAAAGCCUGACGGAGCAACGCCGCGUGAGUGAUGAAGGUCUUCGGAUCGUAAAACUCUGUUAUUAGGGAAGAACAAAUGUGUAAGUAACUAUGCACGUCUUGACGGUACCUAAUCAGAAAGCCACGGCUAACUACGU